rnacentral:rRNA from 1 species
AUACGGAGGAUCCGAGCGUUAUCCGGAUUUAUUGGGUUUAAAGGGUACGUAGGCGGUUUAGAAAGUCAGAUGUUAAAGCGUGAGGCUCGACCUCAUAAAGCAUUUGAAACUUCUAGACUUGAGUAGUGGAGAGGAAAGUGGAAUUCCUAGUGUAGCGGUGAAAUGCGUAGAUAUUAGGAAGAAUACCAGUGGCGAAGGCGACUUUCUGGACACAAACUGACGCUGAGGUACGAAAGCGUGGGGAGCAAACAGGAUUAGAUACCCUGGUAGUCCACGCUGUAAACGAUGAAUGUUAGGUGUCGGGUGUCAAAGCUCGGUGCCGCAGUUAACGCAUUAAACAUUCCGCCUGGGGAGUACGAUGGCAACAUUGAAACUCAAAUGAAUUGACGGGG